GUUAGGGCUAAGUGUGGAUGGCCUGGCUGCCCUUGGCUUAUUUAUGGAGUCAAAACCUCAAGAACAAGCAGGUUUCAAAUCAUAACAUUCAAUGAUGAGCACCACUAUGCACAAAACAGGGAGAACAGACUUGUGACAACUAAGGUUAUUGCUGAAAGAUAUGAGCACUUCAUUUUAGCUAAUCCAAUGUGGAAAAUUGACAGCAUGAAAGCAACAGUUCUUCAGGACAUGUUUGCUGAUGUCUCCACUUCUAAGUGCAGGCAUGCAAAGAAGCUUGUCAUGGAAAAUUUAAGGGAUGGAAUGAAG
rnacentral:rRNA from 1 species